rnacentral:rRNA from 1 species
CAAGUCGAACGCGAAAGUCCCGCAAGGGAUGAGUAGAGUGGCAAACGGGUGAGUAACACGUGGGUGACCUGCCUUCGAGCGGGGAUAACGUCCCGAAAGGGACGCUAAUACCGCAUGACAUCCUGCCUUUGAAGAGGUGGAGAUCAAAGCUGGGGAUCGCAAGACCUAGCACUCGAAGAGGGGCCCGCGCCUGAUUAGCUAGUUGGUGGGGUAACGGCUCACCAAGGCGACGAUCAGUAGCCGGCCUGAGAGGGCGGACGGCCACACUGGGACUGAGACACGGCCCAGACUCCUACGGGAGGCAGCAGUGGGGAAUUGUUCGCAAUGGGCGCAAGCCUGACGACGCAACGCCGCGUGGAGGACGAAGACCUUCGGGUCGUAAACUCCUUUCGAUCGAGACGAAUGGCCUCCGGGUAAACAAUCCGGAGGAAUGACGGUACCGAGAGAAGAAGCCCCGGCUAACUCCGUGCCAGCAGCCGCGGUAAUACGGGGGGGGCAAGCGUUGUUCGGAAUUACUGGGCGUAAAGGGCUCGUAGGUGGCCAACUAAGUCAGACGUGAAAUCCCUCAGCUUAACUGGGGAACUGCGUCUGAUACUGGAUGGCUUGAGAUUGGGAGAGGGAUGCGGAAUUCCAGGUGUAGCGGUGAAAUGCGUAGAUAUCUGGAGGAACACCGGUGGCGAAGGCGGCAUCCUGGACCAACACUGACACUGAGGAGCGAAAGCCAGGGGAGCAAACGGGAUUAGAUACCCCGGUAGUCCUGGACCUAAACGAUGAAUGCUUGGUGUGGAGGGUAUCGAUCCCUGCCGUGCC